UGUAACAUAAUGUAGAAUGGCAUAACACUUGAAAACAGUCUGUAACUGUAACACAAUGUAGAAUGGCAUAUUACUUGAAACCAGUCUGUAACUGUAACAAUGUAGAAUAGCAUAACACUUGAAAACAGUCUGUAACUGUAACACAAUGUAGAAUGGCAUAACACUUGAAAACAGUCUGUAACUGUUACAAUGUAUAAUGGCAUAACACUUGAAAACAGUCUGUAACUGUAACAAUAUAGAAUGGCAUAACACUUGAAAACAAUCCAAGUGAUUGUCAUGACAGAACUGGAGGGAAGUGUUCAGAUGCUUAAUGUUUCAUCAGGACCAUAAAUUCACUUAGUACGAACCCACAGGGUAUAGUGAAUAUAGAGAAGAGCCUAGGGCCUGAAAAAAGAUACUGUUAUGACCUAGAGGCAUGAGAAUGACAAUGAGUGUGGCGGUGUGUGUUGGCCUACAGAUGAGAUGGGGCUGUGUUUGUUGGCCUACUGAUGAGGAGAUGGGGCGGUGUGUGUUGGCCUACUGAUGAGGUGGAGCUGUGUGUGUGUUGGCCUACUGAUGAGGAGAUGGGGCGGUGUGUGUUGGCCUACAGAUGAGGAGGUGGAGCUGUGUGUGUUGGCCUACUGAUGAGGAGGUGGAGCUGUGUGUGUUGGCCUACAGAUGAGGAGGUGGAGCUGUGUGUGUUGGCCUACAGAUGAGGAGGUGUGUGUUGGCCUACUGAUGAGGAGAUGGGGCGGUGUGUGUUGGCCUAUAGAUGAGGAGGUGGAGCUGUGUGUGUUGGCCUACAGAUGAGGAGGUGUGUGUUGCUCUACAGAUUAGAUGGGGCUGUGUUUGUUGGCCUACUGAUGAGGAGGUGGAGCUGUGUGUGUUGGCCUACUGAUGAGGAGGUGGAGCUGUGUGUGUUGGCCUACAGAUGAGGAGGUGUGUGUUGGCCUACUGAUGAGGAGAUGGGGCUGUGUGUGUUGGCCUACAGAUGAGGAGGUGGAGCUGUGUGUGUUGGCCUACAGAUGAGAUGGGGUUGUGUUUGUUGGCCUACUGAUGAGGAGGUGGGGCGGUGUGUGUUGGCCUACUGAUGAGGAGAUGGGGCGGUGUGUUGGCCUACAGAUGAGAUGGGGCGGUGUGUGUUGGCCUACUGAUGAGGAGGUGUGUGUUGGCCUACUGAUGAGGAGGUGGAGCUGUGUGUGUUGGCCUACUGAUGAGGAGGUGGAGCUGUGUGUGUUGGCCUACUGAUGAGGAGGUGGAGCUGUGUGUGUUGGCCUACUGAUGAGGAGGUGGAGCUGUGUGUGUUGGCCUACUGAUGAGGAGGUGGAGCUGUGUGUGUUGGCCUACAGAUGAGAUGGGGCUGUGUUUGUUGGCCUACUGAUGAGGAGGUGGAGCUGUGUGUGUUGGCCUACUGAUGAGGAGAUGGGGCUGUGUGUGUUGGCCUACAGAUGAGGAAGUGUGUGUUGGCCUACAGAUGAGGAGGUGGAUCAGUGUGUGUUGGCCUACUGAUGAGGAGGUGUGUGUUGGCCUACAGAUGAGGAGGUGUGUGUUGGCCUACUGAUGAGGAGGUGUGUGUUGGCCUACAGAUGAGGAGGUGGAUCAGUGUGUGUUGGCCUACAGAUGAGGAGGUGUGUGUUGGCCUACAGAUGAGGAGGUGUUGCUGUGUGUGCAGUAAUAAAUUAUGACAAGGGGCAGGCAGCACGAUCACACUAUAUUUACACUUCACAUUCAUUACGCUGUAAACGCUAGCAUUUCAGUUCAUGAUCUAUUUAUGUUGAGAUACUCAAGCUCCUAAGCAGUGGGAUCCACUGGAAAAAACGUUGACCACGGUAAAAAAAGAGAAAUGGCAAGCUAAACAUGAAAAGAGCAGAUACAGUAACUAUGAAAAAAAGCUGUCUCAUCACUGGACUCCCAAAAGGACUUCCCAGGCCAAAGUACAAUAUGUGGCAGGCCUUUGAACUGAACAGGACCUUAGUGUUGUUUUCAGCUCAGUGUUAUUAGCACCCCCCCCGACCCAAAUACAAGGAAAAUGAAUGAUGUCUGAGGUUUAGAGAUACAUUAAAAAGUAGAGGACACCAACCCUAUCUGAACCCAUGUUUUUGUUUUCUUAAAAACCGUGAUAAAAAGAAAAUGCAUUUGGUUUCAUAGGCUAUAUAUAAAGCAUGUACACAUCAUUUAUUUACAAAUACUCUUUAUUUGCAUUUUGCUAGCAGUAUCUUGUCUUGUAAGGGCUACAUGGUGCUAAGCGCAUGUUUAUUAAUUUUUUUAAAUGUUUUUAUUUAACCUUUAUUUAACUUGGUUGUAUCAUGAUGAUACAGAACUUCAUUAUUUUAAAC
rnacentral:lncRNA from 1 species